rnacentral:rRNA from 1 species
AUGCAGUCGAGCGCUGAUUACGGGGUAGCAAUAUUCCGUGGUCGGAGCGGCGCAAGGGUGCGUAACACGUGGGUAACCUGCCGUGAAGUCUGGAAUAACUUGCUGAAAGGCGAGCUAAUGCCGGAUGUGAAAAUUGGAAGGCAUCUUUUGAUUUUCAAAGUUGGGGACCGUAAGGCCUGACGCUUCAUGAUGAGCCCGCGGCCUAUCAGCUAGUUGGUGAGGUAACGGCUCACCAAGGCUAAGACGGGUAGCUGGUCUGAGAGGACGACCAGCCACACUGGAACUGAGACACGGUCCAGACACCUACGGGUGGCAGCAGUCGAGAAUUUUUCACAAUGGGCGAAAGCCUGAUGGAGCGACGCCGCGUGGGGGAUGAAUGGCUUCGGCCCGUAAACCCCUGUCAUUCGGGAUCAAUGCGUUUGGGUGAACAUCCCAAACGUUGAUAGUACCGGAAGAGGAAGGGACGGCUAACUCUGUGCCAGCAGCCGCGGUAAUACAGAGGUCCCAAGCGUUGUUCGGAUUUACUGGGCGUAAAGGGUGCGUAGGUGGUCGGGUAAGUCUGAUGUGAAAUCUCGGAGCUUAACUCCGAAACGGCAUUGGAUACUAUUCGGCUUGAGGGUUGGAGGGGGGACUGGAAUUCUCGGUGUAGCAGUGAAAUGCGUAGAUAUCGAGAGGAACACCAGUGGCGAAGGCGAGUCCCUGGACAACUCCUGACACUAAGGCACGAAAGCCAGGGGAGCAAACGGGAUUAGAUACCCCGGUAGUCCUGGCCCUAAACGGUGCACGUUUGCUGUAAAAGGAAUCGACCCCUUUUGUGGCGUAGCUAACGCGUUAAACGUGCCGCCUGGGAAGUACGGUCGCAAGAUUAAAACUCAAAGAAAUUGACGGGGGCCUGCACAAGCGGGUGGAGUAUGUGGCUCAAUUCGAUGCAACGCGAAGAACCUUACCUGGUCCUUGACAUGCAAGUGGUAGAAGGAUGAAAGUCUGACGACCCCGGCAAGGGGAGCUUGCACAGGUGCUGCAUGGCUGUCGUCAGCUUCGUGUCGUGAGAUGUGGUUAAGCCCCGCACGAGCGC